GCUGGGCAUGGUGGUGCACGUUUGUAGUCUCAGCUACUCAGGAGGCUGAGGCAGGAGAAUUGCUUGAACCCAGGAGGUGGAGGUUGCAGUGAGCCGAGAUCAUGCCAUUGCACUCCAGUCUGGGUAACAACAGCGAAACUCUCUUAAAAAAAAAAAAAAAAAAUGGAGUGUCACUCUGUCUGUCGCCCAGGCUGGAGUGCAGUGGCCUGAUCUCGGCUCACUGCAACCUCCAACUCCUGGAUUCAAGGGAUUCUCCUGCCUCAG
rnacentral:sRNA from 13 species